UACAGAGGGUGCGAGCGUUGUCCGGAAUCACUGGGCGUAAAGCGUCUGUAGGUGGUCAAAUAAGUCAACUGUUAAAUCUUGAGGCUCAACCUCAAAAUCGCAGUCGAAACUAUUAGACUAGAGUAUAGUAGGGGUAAAGGGAAUUUCCAGUGGAGCGGUGAAAUGCGUAGAUAUUGGAAAGAACACCGAUGGCGAAGGCACUUUACUGGGCUAUUACUAACACUCAGAGACGAAAGCUAGGGUAGCAAAUGGGG
rnacentral:rRNA from 1 species